rnacentral:rRNA from 1 species
GAUGAACGCUGGCGGCGUGCCUAAUACAUGCAAGUCGAGCGAACAGACGAGGAGCUUACUCCUCUGACGUUAGCGGCGGACGGGUGAGUAACACGUGGAUAACCUACCUAUAAGACUGGGAUAACUUCGGGAAACCGGAGCUAAUACCGGAUAACAUGUUGAACCGCAUGGUUCAACAGUGAAAGACGGUCUUGCUGUCACUUAUAGAUGGAUCCGCGUCGCAUUAGCUAGUUGGUAAGGUAACGGCUUACCAAGGCAACGAUGCGUAGCCGACCUGAGAGGGUGAUCGGCCACACUGGAACUGAGACACGGUCCAGACUCCUACGGGAGGCAGCAGUAGGGAAUCCUCCGCAAUGGGCGAAAGCCAGACGGAGCAACGCCGCGUGAGUGAAGAAGGUCUUCGGAUCGUAAAACUCUGUUAUUAGGGAAGAACAAAUGUGUAAGUAACUAUGCACGUCUUGACGGUACCUAAUCAGAAAGCCACGGCUAACUACGUG